rnacentral:rRNA from 1 species
GACGAACGCUGGCGGCGUGCCUAAUACAUGCAAGUAGAACGCUGAAGGAGGAGCUUGCUUCUCUGGAUGAGUUGCGAACGGGUGAGUAACGCGUAGGUAACCUGCCUGGUAGCGGGGGAUAACUAUUGGAAACGAUAGCUAAUACCGCAUAAGAGUAGAUGUUGCAUGACAUUUGCUUAAAAGGUGCAAUUGCAUCACUACCAGAUGGACCUGCGUUGUAUUAGCUAGUUGGUGGGGUAACGGCUUACCAAGGCGACGAUACAUAGCCGACCUGAGAGGGUGAUCGGCCACACUGGGACUGAGACACGGCCCAGACUCCUACGGGAGGCAGCAGUGGGGAAUCUUCGGCAAUGGACGGAAGUCUGACCGAGCAACGCCGCGGGAGUGAAGAAGGUUUUCGGAUCGUAAAGCUCUGUUGUAAGAGAAGAACGAGUGUGAGAGUGGAAAGUUCACACUGUGACGGUAUCUUACCAGAAAGGGACGGCUAACUACGUG